CUGUCAACGUCAAAACAAAAUUUUAGUGUAAAUAUUGAAAAUUUACCGGUAUUCAAAUACGGAGAAAAUACUGGUACUUCGCUCGAAAGGUAUGGUACGAUCUCACUGCGACGAAUGUGUCACCUUGGUGGACCUGGAACCUUUUUAUACCCAUCGCAGGAAUUUGGAUGCCGACGACUCACGAUCAUCCUCGGAAUCAAUCGCGGGAUAAAAAAUGCAAUUGGGAAAACAUAAUGAAAAUAAAGUUUGUCUUCAUGAAAACGGUGAAAACAGCGGGACAAAAUCUGGUCACAUGUGUACAAGAAAACCGCCUUUUCAGAAAAACCGCAGGAAACUGAAUCCUGGUUUACAUUAUAUUACAUUAUAUUUUGCCACACCAGGCAUGCUCUUUCAUUUAACAGGGCUUCUCAAGUUUUAGGCAUUUGUGGUUCUUUAUUAUCCUAAGAAUAACCAGGGCUAAAAACAAUGAAGGCCAGAGACUACAACAUAGUCAACGGAGAAAUAAGUAUAACUUAUAAGAAAUCGAACCUUUUCAGGAUACUAUCAGACUAAAAACUGCUUUAAGUUGGUUUCUUUAUGUAUGUUUACAAUUAUAAACCCCUCAUGACUCACAGGUAAAGCUAAAAAUGUAUUUUUUUGCUAUGUAAAUUAUAAAAUUGGAGGUUAAAAUGUUAACGGAGCAAAAUUAAAGACUGCCUGGGCUUACCCUUAUUACUAUAAAAUAAAGAUAAAAUCUUGUAACUUUGUCACAUUAUCUACUAUCGAAUAAAAUUUAAAAUUGGUAUUUAGGUUAUACAAGAUGACUCAAAUGAUUCUUUUUACG